rnacentral:rRNA from 1 species
UACGUAGGGUGCAAGCGUUGUCCGGAAUUAUUGGGCGUAAAGAGCUCGUAGGCGGUCUGUCGCGUCGAAUGUGAAAACUCGGGGCUUAACUCCGGGCCUGCAGUGGGUACGGGCAGACUAGAGUGCGGUAGGGGAGACUGGAAUUCCUGGUGUAGCGGUGAAAUGCGCAGAUAUCAGGAGGAACACCGGUGGCGAAGGCGGGUCUCUGGGCCGUAACUGACGCUGAGGAGCGAAAGCGUGGGGAGCGAACAGG